rnacentral:rRNA from 1 species
GAUGAACGCUGGCGGCGUGCCUAAUACAUGCAAGUCGAGCGAAUGGAUUAAGAGCUUGCUCUUAUGAAGUUAGCGGCGGACGGGUGAGUAACACGUGGGUAACCUGCCCAUAAGACCGGGAUAACUCCGGGAAACCGGGGCUAAUACCGGAUAACAUUUUGAACCGCAUGGUUCGAAAUUGAAAGGCGGCUUCGGCUGUCACUUAUGGAUGGACCCGCGUCGCAUUAGCUAGUUGGUGAGGUAACGGCUCACCAAGGCAACGAUGCGUAGCCGGCCUGAGAGGGUGAUCGGCCACACUGGGACUGAGACACGGCCCAGACUCCUACGGGAGGCAGCAGUAGGGAAUCUUCCGCAAUGGACGAAAGUCUGACGGAGCAACGCCGCGUGAGUGAUGAAGGCUUUCGGGUCGUAAAACUCUGUUGUUAGGGAAGAACAAGUGCUAGUUGAAUAAGCUGGCACCUUGACGGUACCUAACCAGAAAGCCACGGCUAACUACGUGCCAGCCGCCGCUGUAA